ACGAACGCUGGCGGCAGGCUUAACACAUGCAAGUCGCACGCCCCGCAAGGGGAGUGGCAGACGGGUGAGUAACGCGUGGGAACAUACCCUUUCCUGCGGAAUAGCUCCGGGAAACUGGAAUUAAUACCGCAUACGCCCUACGGGGGAAAGAUUUAUCGGGGAAGGAUUGGCCCGCGUUGGAUUAGCUAGUUGGUGGGGUAAAGGCCUACCAAGGCGACGAUCCAUAGCUGGUCUGAGAGGAUGAUCAGCCACAUUGGGACUGAGACACGGCCCAAACUCCUACGGGAGGCAGCAGUGGGGAAUAUUGGACAAUGGGCGCAAGCCUGAUCCAGCCAUGCCGCGUGAGUGAUGAAGGCCUUAGGGUUGUAAAGCUCUUUCACCGAUGAAGAUAAUGACGGUAGUCGGAGAAGAAGCCCCGGCUAACUUCGUG
rnacentral:rRNA from 1 species